UACGAAGGGGGCUAGCGUUGCUCGGAAUUACUGGGCGUAAAGGGCGCGUAGGCGGAUAUUUAAGUUGGGGGUGAAAUCCCGGGGCUCAACCUCGGAAUUGCCUUCAAAACUGGAUAUCUUGAGUUCGGGAGAGGUGAGUGGAACUCCGAGUGUAGAGGUGAAAUUCGUAGAGAUGUGGAGGAACACCAGUGGCGAAGGCGACUCUUUGGCCUGUAACUGACGCUGAGGCGCGAAAGCGUGGGGAGCAAACAGG
rnacentral:rRNA from 1 species